AAUUCUAAAAUAACCCUUCUCACUUCAACUCACAUAUAGCUCUCUCUGAAUUCCGUUGUACGCAAUUUAUAUAUAAACCCCAACAAUAAGGGCGCGUGAGCUCCACCUCCUCAACGGUCUCACUCUGACACAAUCUCCCUCCCUUCGCUUCCUUCUGCAACCUCUCUCUGCGGUUCUUCCCUCACCACACCACUACUCUCUCCUCUUUCUUCUUCUUCUUUUUUCUGUUUCUGUUUCACAGUAAUAGGGUUUUAGGGUUCAUCUUCUUCCCGCACAUUUCAAUGCCGGAGAAGUCCAGGAAGGUACCUUUCACGGUCUCCUCCGGCAACGUCUCCUCCAGCAGCGACCUCCUUCUGCGACGUCUUCUCCAGUGACGGUCUCCUUCGGCGACGUCUCCUCCUGUGACUUCUCCUCCAGCGACGUCUCUUCCAGCGACGUCUCUUCCAGCGGCUUCUCUUCCAGCGACGAUUUCCUCCUGCGACAUUCUCCUACGCUGGCAAUCUCGUCAAUCGAGCUAUUGAGCUGCGAGUUUCUCUUUCGGCAGACUCACGACGGCCGCUAUAAGGAUUUUAUUUCAAUCUAUGAUCUCACCUUCACAGCUAGGUUGGCAAGUGAGUGGUGAUGAUCUGUGUGGACAAUAUUGGAAAGGCAUAACAUGCUCAAACAACCGAAUAGAUAUAAAACUCUAGACUAACAAGUAAACUUCAACGGCAAAGGCUUUUCUUUUUUCUGGCCAGGGAUGCUAUUUAUAAUUUAACUGUGCUAUAUAUAUAUAUAUAUAUAUAUAUAUAUAUAUAUUGUUGAGCUUCAAUUUUGUUCAUGUAAUAACUAAUACUAUGGGAAAGUAAAUAUGUAAAGCAGAUAUAUUGGUUCAUAUCAUGGCAUGGAAAGAAAUUGAAGGCGAUUUUAUUAUCUUUGUGCACUGCACUAAAUUACAAUACAUCUCCACAACAGUUUUAUGUUUG